rnacentral:rRNA from 1 species
CUGACGCAGCACGCCGCGUGGGUGAUGAAGGUCUUCGGAUUGUAAAACCCUGUCUUCUGGGACGAUAAUGACGGUACCAGAGGAGGAAGCCACGGCUAACUACGUGCCAGCAGCCGCGGUAAUAC